UUAUGCAAGACAGGUGUGAAAUCCCCGGGCUCAACCUGGGAACUGCACUUGUGACUGCAUGACUAGAGUGCGUCAGAGGGAGGUGGAAUUCCGCGUGUAGCAGUGAAAUGCGUAGAGAUGCGGAGGAACACCGAUGGCGAAGGCAGCCUCCUGGGAUGACACUGACGCUCAUGCACGAAAGCGUGGGGAGCAAACAGGAAUAGAUACCCUGGUAGUCCACGCCCUAAACGAUGUCAACUAGUUGUCGGGGAUUCAUUUCCUUGGUAACGCAGCUAACGCGUGAAGUUGACCGCCUGGGGAGUACGGCCGCAAGGUUAAAACUCAAAGGAAUUGACGGGGACCCGCACAAGCGGUGGAUGAUGUGGAUUAAUUCGAUGCAACGCGAAAAACCUUACCUACGCUUGACAUGCCAGGAACUUUCCAGAGAUGGAUUGGUGCCCGAAAGGGAACCUGGACACAGGUGCUGCAUGGCUGUCGUCAGCUCGUGUCGUGAGAUGUUGGGUUAAGUCCCGCAACGAGCGCAACCCUUUUCCUUAGUUGCUACGCAAGGGCUACUCUAGGGAUACUGCUUUUCGGUCACAAACCGGAGGAAGGUGGGGAUGAAAUCAACCCCUCAUUGGCCCUUAUGUGUAGGGCUUCACACGUCAUACAAUGGUCGGUACAGAGGGUCGCCAACCCGCGAGGGGGAGCCAAUCCCAGAAAACCGAUCGUAGUCCGGAUUGCACUCUGCAACUCGAGUGCACGAAGUCGGAAUCGCUA
rnacentral:rRNA from 1 species